AACGAACGCUGGCGGCAGGCCUAACACAUGCAAGUCGAACGCCCCGCAAGGGGAGUGGCAGACGGGUGAGUAACACGUGGGAACGUACCCUUCGGUUCGGGAUAACUCAGGGAAACUUGAGCUAAUACCGGAUACGUCCGAGAGGAGAAAGAUUUAUCGCCGAGGGAUCGGCCCGCGUCUGAUUAGCUUGUUGGUGAGGUAACGGCUCACCAAGGCGACGAUCAGUAGCUGGUCUGAGAGGAUGAUCAGCCACAUU
rnacentral:rRNA from 1 species